rnacentral:rRNA from 1 species
GAUCAUGGCUCAGGAUGAACGCUAGCUACAGGCUUAACACAUGCAAGUCGAGGGGAAACGACAUCGAAAGCUUGCUUUUGAUGGGCGUCGACCGGCGCACGGGUGAGUAACGCGUAUCCAACCUGCCCACCACUUGGGGAUAACCUUGCGAAAGUAAGACUAAUACCCAAUGAUAUCUCUAGAAGACAUCUGAAAGGGAUUAAAGAUUUAUCGGUGAUGGAUGGGGAUGCGUCUGAUUAGCUUGUUGGCGGGGUAACGGCCCACCAAGGCGACGAUCAGUAGGGGUUCUGAGAGGAAGGUCCCCCACAUUGGAACUGAGACACGGUCCAAACUCCUACGGGAGGCAGCAGUGAGGAAUAUUGGUCAAUGGGCGAGAGCCUGAACCAGCCAAGUAGCGUGCAGGAUGACGGCCCUAUGGGUUGUAAACUGCUUUUAUAAGGGAAUAAAGUGAGAGUCGUGACUCUUUUUGCAUGUACCUUAUGAAUAAGGACCGGCUAAUUCCGUG